GUGCACAAAAUUAUGGUCUUUUUAUGAUUAUCGCACAAACCAGAUAAGACAAGAUAAGGACUGGAGUUUAUUGCAAUUCAAACCAUUUUAAAUUUCAAUUUAACUCCAACUUUUUUUCACUCUUAUCUAACUUAAAGAGAGACUUAUCAGAGAAAAUUAGAUAUAAAAAUCAAUUAAGAAGAUUUUUUUUUCUCAUACACAAUAGGCAC
rnacentral:lncRNA from 1 species